AUGGGUCCAUGCCAACCAACUAAUCAUACAUAUGAACGGUUAAAUGGUAGAAGCUUUCAUGGUUAUUGGUUCAAUGAUCAUUGCGGCUGGUUGGAAUAUAGCACUGAAAAAAACGCAGCCUUUUGCUUUUAUUGUUUCCUGUUUAAGCAACCAAGAGCUGAAAACUAUGGCAUUGAAGCAUUCACGAAAAAUGGAUUUAAAUCUUGGAAGGAUGGGCCUAAAGUUUUCAAUCAGCAUGUUGGCAAGCAUGAUAGUGCUCAUAAUAAAUCUAGGCAACAUUAUGAGGAUUUCAAAAAUCAAAGACAAAAUUUGCCACAUGUGUUUGAUAGGGGUUCUAAUAAGAAAGAAGAAGAAUACAAAGCUCGUCUCUUGAUUAUAAUGGGUAUUGUCAAAUUUUUGCUACUACAAGCUCUUGCCUUUCGUGGUCAUGAUGAGUCUACUAGCUCAAUGAAUAAGGGUAACUUUAGAGAGUUGUUGGACUUGUUCAUAAAGAAAGACCCAAAGGUGGAAAAAUUGUUUGGGGAUGCAGGAGAUAACCAUAAACUGACUUCACAUGAGAUACAAUUGGAUUUAUGCAAGGCUUGUUCACAAGAGACCACCAAAGUCAUUCUUGAGGAGAUUGGAGAUAGUAAAUUUGCAUUACUUGUUGAUGAGUCCAGAGAUGCAUCUAUGAAGGAGCAAAUGGCUAUGUGUUUGAGGUAUCUCGGCAAACGUGGGGAGGUGAUUGAGAGAUUCAUGGCAGUUGAGCAUGUUCCUGACACGAGAGCAACUUCACUAAAGAUAUCUUUGGAUGGUAUGUUUGCUACUCUUGGCUUGUCUAUGUCUAAUUUGAGAGGGUGGGGUUAUGAUGGGGCAUCAAACAUGAGAGGGGAAUUCCGUGGAUUGCAAAGAUUGAUCUUGGCAGAAAACCCUUAUGCUCAUUAUAUACAUUGUUUUGCCCAUCAGUUACAAUUAGUGGUUGUUGCUGUUGCCAAGUGUUGUUCAUCAGUAAGGGAUUUUUUUGAAUACACAAGCAUGGUUGUUAACAUUGUUAAUGCUUCUUGUAAAAGACAUGAUCAGUUAGCCCAAGAGCAACAUGAUGAAAUAGUGCGCCAAAUAGAGGCUGGGGAACUUCUUGAGGGAAGAGGAAAAAACCAAUUAACUAACCUUGCUAGACCCGGUGAUACACGGUGGGGGUCACAUCAUAAAACCUUGUGA
rnacentral:rRNA from 1 species